rnacentral:rRNA from 1 species
GUGCAGCAGGCGCGAAACUUUACAAUGUGCGAAAGCACGAUAAGGGAACUCUGAGUGCCUCCUAAGGAGGCUGUUCAGGUGUCUAAAAGCACCUGAAGGAAGGGCUGGGUAAGACCGGUGCCAGCCGCCGCGGUAACGCCGGCAGCCCAAGUGGUAGCCACGUUUAUUGGGUCUAAAGCGUCCGUAGCCGGCUGGGUAAGUUCCUUGGGAAAUUUGGCUGCUUAACAGUCAAGCUUUCAGGGAAUACUGCCCGGCUUGGGACCGGGAGAGGUCAGAGGUACUCCAGGGGUAGGGGUGAAAUCCAUUAAUCCUUGGGGGACCACCGGUAGCGAAGGCGUCUGACCAGACCGGGUCCGACGGUGAGGGACGAAGGCUAGGGGCGCGAACCGGAUUAGAUA